UACGUAGGGUGCAAGCGUUGUCCGGAAUUAUUGGGCGUAAAGAGCUCGUAGGCGGUCUGUCGCGUCGGCUGUGAAAACUCGGGGCUCAACUCCGAGCUUGCAGUCGAUACGGGCAGGCUAGAGUUCGGCAGGGGAGACUGGAAUUCCUGGUGGUAGCGGUGAAAUGCGCAGAUAUCAGGAGGAACACCGGUGGCGAAGGCGGGUCUCUGGGCCGAUACUGACGCUGAGGAGCGAAAGCGUGGGGAGCGAACAGG
rnacentral:rRNA from 1 species